GAUGAACGCUAGCGGCAGGCCUAACACAUGCAAGUCGAGGGGUAACAGGGUAGCAAUAUCGCUGACGACCGGCGCACGGGUGAGUAACGCGUAUGCAACCUUCCUUUAACUGGGGGAUAGCCCGGAGAAAUUCGGAUUAAUACCCCAUAACAUCAUAGAAAGGCAUCUUUCAGUGAUUAAAGCUCCGGCGGUUAAAGAUGGGCAUGCAUGCCAUUAGCUAGUUGGUGAGGUAACUGCUCACCAAGGCUACGAUGGCUAGGGGGUCUGAGAGGAUGAUCCCCCACACUGGUACUGAGACACGGACCAGACUCCUACGGGAGGCAGCAGUGAGGAAUAUUGGGCAAUGGGCGCAAGCCUGACCCAGCCAUGCCGCGUGAAGGAUGAAUGCCCUAUGGGUUGUAAACUUCUUUUGUACGGGACGAAACUCUUGGUCGUGACCGAGAUUGACGGUACCGUGCGAAUAAGCAUCGGCUAACUCCGUGCCAGCCGCCGCCGUAAGAC
rnacentral:rRNA from 1 species